UACGAAGGGUGCAAGCGUUAAUCGGAAUUACUGGGCGUAAAGCGCGCGUAGGUGGUUCAGCAAGUUGGAUGUGAAAGCCCUGGGCUCAACCUGGGAACUGCAUCCAAAACUACUGAGCUAGAGUACGGUACGGACGGUAGUAGGGGGAAUUUCCGGUAAGUUUCCGGUACGGUCGGGUUAGGAAACUAGGUCGGUAAAAGUAGUACGUUAAGGG
rnacentral:rRNA from 1 species